GGGGAUAGCCUUUCGAAAGGAAGAUUAAUACCCCAUAAUAUAUUGAAUGGCAUCAUUUAAUAUUGAAAACUCCGGUGGAUAGAGAUGGGCACGCGCAAGAUUAGAUAGUUGGUAGGGUAACGGCCUACCAAGUCAGUGAUCUUUAGGGGGCCUGAGAGGGUGAUCCCCCACACUGGUACUGAGACACGGACCAGACUCCUACGGGAGGCAGCAGUGAGGAAUAUUGGACAAUGGGUGAGAGCCUGAUCCAGCCAUCCCGCGUGAAGGACGACGGCCCUAUGGGUUGUAAACUUCUUUUGUAUAGGGAUAAACCUACUCUCGUGAGAGUAGCUGAAGGUACUAUACGAAUAAGCACCGGCUAACUCCGUGCCAGCAGCCGCGGUAAUACGGAGGGUGCAAGCGUUAUCCGGAUUUAUUGGGUUUAAAGGGUCCGUAGGCGGAUCUGUAAGUCAGUGGUGAAAUCUCAUAGCUUAACUAUGAAACUGCCAUUGAUACUGCAGGUCUUGAGUAAAGUAGAAGUGGCUGGAAUAAGUAGUGUAGCGGUGAAAUGCAUAGAUAUUACUUAGAACACCAAUUGCGAAGGCAGGUCACUAUGUUUUAACUGACGCUGAUGGACGAAAGCNGUGGGGAGCGAACAGGAUUAGAUACCCUGGUAGUCCACGCCGUAAACGAUGCUAACUCGUUUUUGGGUUUUCGGAUUCAGAGACUAAGCGAAAGUGAUAAGUUAGCCACCUGGGGAGUACGUUCGCAAGAAUGAAACUCAAAGGAAUUGACGGGGGCCCGCACAAGCGGUGGAUUAUGUGGUUUAAUUCGAUGAUACGCGAGGAACCUUACCAAGGCUUAAAUGGGAAUUGACAGGUUUAGAAAUAGACUUUUCUUC
rnacentral:rRNA from 1 species